GAGUUUGAUCGUGGCUCAGGAUGAACGCUAGCGGCAGGCUUAACACAUGCAAGUCGAGGGGCAUCGGGAGGGAAGCUUGCUUUCCUUGCCGGCGACCGGCGCACGGGUGAGUAACACGUAUGCAACCUGCCCUCUUCAGGGGACGGGGGGGGGAACCUUCCGAAAGGGAGGCUAAUCCCGCGUAUAUCGGUUUCGGGCAUCCGUUAUCGAGGAAAGAUUCAUCGGAAGAGGAUGGGCAUGCGGCGCAUUAGCUAGACGGCGGGGUAAC
rnacentral:rRNA from 1 species